AAUUCCCAUUUUGUUGCUACUUGUGGUUGAUCAUAAAACAUUCAUUCUGCAGCAGAGUGCAAAGUAAUAAAUAUUAAUGCUUUAUUGAAAGAGGCUCAGCAGAAAGACUCUCCUGUUCUUAAAGUGCCUCUGCUUUGUGCUUGUAGACAAAAGAAAAAGCUUUAGUUACAGUUCUCUCUUUCUAACAGCAGUUCCCAAAGAAAGACUCCUUGAGAAGGAAGGGCAAGAUGCAAUCAGUCUGUGAGAGGCAGGGGACGGUGGGUUUUCUAGAGGUUAAACUGUGUGUAAUAGUGAACGCCAGACAUUUGUGCUGGCUGAGACAUAAGCCUGUGUUUUUUAAUUCCUAUGAACCUAUUUAAGUACUACCAGUGAAAGUGAAAUUUUCAGAUGAAUAAAGAAUGAAAAUAAUUCUCAGCCAAGCUGAUGUAUUUCCCACAAUCUAAGAAUAAAAGAAGAAAAUUAAAUAAUUCAACUAUGUUCUAUGCACAGUAUCUGUAUUCUAAGGACAUAGGUGCUCCCGUUUUCAGACUUUUGACCUUCUUUUCUUGUGAAACACAGCUCAGCGGCUCUUUGGAAAUACUGCACAUCUGAAUUGGUCAUGGCAAAAGGGUCAAAUUUACAGUUUCACUCAUGAAUUUAAAUUUUUUUCAUCUCACUGAUCCCCAUUUCUUUUGAUCUUACGUGAAAGCAAGUCAAAUGUGGUCAUAUUUUUGCGGAGAGUUUGUCUGCUGAAUAAUAAAGGAUAAAAACUGAAAAAUAAGUAAAAUGUGCUAAUUUAGUUUUCAGUCAUCACUGAAGAAAGAUGUGCUGAAUUCUGGGAUAAUUUUGAAUAUAUGAAUUGUGGAAAUUUGUUUGAAUCUCUGUUUUGCUAAUGACUGUGUGAAUCUGAUUCUCACUUUUUUAAUCUGUAAAAGGGAAAUGAUAAAACCACUUACCUCUUGGGGAUUAGUUGAGAUUAUAUGUGCAGAGUACCUGGCACUAUGCCAAGCUCAUAGCAGGCAUUCUAUAAAUGUUAAUUCCUUCUCUGCUCUGCUUUAUUUUACCAACUAUAAGCUGAUUUUCCAACUGUAAACUAGUCAACAAAAUGAAAUGAUGUGAGACAAAUCAGUGACUUUUGUUUUGCUUGACAUAGAAAUCAAUGUGAGUAAAGAAAAAAAAUCAGCAGUCUGUUGGCAAAAUAUGCAAGGUGCUUUUUCUUUGCCAUGUCCUCCCAGGCAUCUAAGAGGGUGACGGUCUGGAAUUAUUCAUUGAUUAACUGAAAAGUUAGAAAUAUCUUCCCAGAUACCUCAAAGGAAUACAAUUUGGUCUAACUUGCCUACAGAUUUAACAUUUUUCAUAGCAAACAUACCAGCAAUUUAUUUUGUUUGAGUUAUAAUUUACAUAACUACAGAAGAUUUGCUGAUCUUCCUGUUGGUUUUCCAAAUUAAGAAAAUAAUGUCCUUCAAUAACAUGAAUACAAAUGAAUUUUUUCCUCUGAAAAAUUUUGGAAGUCAUGCAACCAUUUCCAUUGUUAAGAGACUGUAAAAGAGGACUCGUUUUUUGGAAUUGUGUGUGUGUGAACGAUUGUGAUGUGUUCAUAAUUUGUAGGGAUAGUGGAUUACUGUACCAUGUUUCUCAGCCAGGCUUUCCUGAGAAAUUAAGUCCUACUGUCGGCAGCAUCCAUUGCAUAUAAUGGAGAAUUUUUUUUCCUGAGAACAUAGGAUGAUCCAGGUUAUGUACAUCUUUGGGAGAACUGAGAGGACAGUUACUCAAACAAUUUCCUGUUUUGCAGUUCAGAUAAGAAACCUGAAUUGAGAAAGGCUGAAUGGUGUCUGAAAGGGCUUCACAUCCUUACUAUAAAAACGGUGAGUUUUUAUAGUUGGUAAAUACAGUAGUAGGAUGGGUAGAAAAACAAUAGCAUGAAUAAGACCUACCAUUUGCUAGCACAAUGGGGUGACUAUAGUCAACAGUAACUUAAAGAAUGUGAUUGGACUAUCUGUAACUCAAAGAAUAAAUGCUUGAGGGGAUGGAUACUUCAUUGUCUAGGAUGUGCUUAUUUCACAGUGGAUAUCUGUAUCAAAACAUCUUAUGGACCCCAUAAAUAUAUAUACCAACUAUGCAUCCACAAAAAAAUUUUGUAUAUGUAUAUCUAGAAGAGAAAUUUGCUUAGAAAUUGAUUUUAGACACUUAGUACUCUCUGAGCAUCAUGGGCCAGAAUACCUGUAAGUAAUGGCAUUUGGCUCUCUUUCUUAUCUCUCAAGAGUAAAUGAGAGAAUUCUUACCUCAUUAAUCUACUGUACACCUUUUAAUACUGGCUGACUGAUAAACUUCUGGUUCCAAGGCCUCUGUAUGCUUUGAGUUUCAAACAAAGAGGCCCUCUGAAGUGAAGUGGGAGCUGUUUAAGAGGUUAAUGGAGGUAAAGGCCCUUUUAUAGAAGGCAUUAGUAGGGACAUCAUCAUUCCCAGGAAGGGACUGAUUCAGAGACACUAUGGAACAGACUUCAGCCAUGAGCUGGUGGCAGAGUGCUUCAUUUGUGUUUUCUGCAUGGGCUUAAAUCUGUGAUUCAGAAGCUAAUCUAAGAAACCUGCUUGAAUUUUUCUAGCUAUUUUUAUGCGUUUCUGGUCUCACUCAGAAGUAGUAAACAGGAAGUCAGGAGAUGGGUGUUCUAGCUCUAGUUCUUCCAGUUAAUAAUUUCUAACAUGGGGCAAGUCUGUGAAUUCAUUCAUUCAUUUGUUUACUUAUUAAGUAUUUCUUGAGGAAAUACAGUGUGUGAUAAAUAUUAUGCUGGCUUGAAGAGAUACACAAUCAUGCAUGUUGGUAAUAUCUAACAAUAAGUGUUGAAAACAGAUUCAUUGAAAGAAACUUUUCAGACAAUAGUUUUUUCAUCUGUAAAGUAGAGGAUUUGACUAAUUUCUGUUUCCUACCUCUAAAAUUGAGUCUGAACAGCCUGUGUUAAAAAGCGCUUUUGUUCCUCUCAAGUUAACACACAACAGUGACCUUCAAUGUGUGUUGGGUCCAGAGAGAAAAGUCUCUCUCAUGUCCUGGAAUCUCUUCUAUUUUAUGGUGCUUUCUACAAUGUGAGUGCAGUGUGAUGACCUGGGACUACUUUUCCAAACAGAAUUGAAUUGGACUAAAUCAGGUUUUUGUGCCAUCAAUCACAGGCCUCUGCAAUCCCAAACCUCAUUACCUACUGAGUUGUAUACCGACAUGCUCCAGGCAAGCGGCAGGGUAGGGGAUGUGUGGCCCAAACAUUCAUUCUUUCCUUCCUAAUAGUAUCAUGAUUUUAAUUUAGACUGAAAAAUGUUAGCAUUUAUUGAUCGAUCACUUAUUGCAUGCCAGGCACUGUGAUAGACAAUUUCUGAAGAAUUAACCAAUUUCAGCUUACUUUGUAGGUGGAAGGAACUACAGGGGCUCAGACAGGUGAGGUGUCUUGGUCAAAUUUGCCCCAUAUCCCACUAUUUUCUCUCAAUCCCAUGUUGAGUUUAAGAGGAAAGCCAGAGGUCCCAGUCUAAUUUUAAAUUUAUAGAGAAUAUUAGGGGUGGUUUUGCUGCCGGACAUUUUUACCACAUGCCCAGGUGGCUCAGCUGGGCAUGAAAGGCCUUCUGACAGCUCAUCAGAUUAUUUCCAGAUGAGUCACCUAGAACUGUAUGUUUACAGAGGUCAGGAACAGCACGAGCAGGCAGCAAAAUGGGGUUGAGCUUUGGAGAGAGAAACAAAAGGAGUGGGGAGAUUCUCUUAGGAUCAGUCACUCGUUUCUGGGAGGGAAGAUGGGACACUGCUGAGAAGUGGGAAGGAAGCCGUGUGUCUGAGACAAAGGAACAUGGGGACUGAAACUGAGAGAGUAAAAUGAGAAAGAGAAAGGCUCGGUACGUCCUCACACUCAUAGCGAGGCCUGAGCCAUGAUUGCGAGCGAGGCUGCUUAUUUUCCAUUCAGGCAGCUUGGCUGUAAGUACAGGUAUAGAGCGGGGUCCUAUUGAAACCCAGAUGAUACCUUUCAGCUCAGCAAUUCAAACAGAAGACCAGCAAACCCAGGGAUUCAUUUCCAAAGAGUGCCCAGAUACAUUAGCAGUGUGACUCCCACUAAAAUCCAUGGGUGGAACAAUUAUGUCUUUCUGCAGCACUUUGAAAAUGUGUCCCUUAACUUGCACACCACAAAGAGCAGCACAGUUCUCAUUUCAUGCUUUUCACACAAAUGGACUUGCUCCCUUUGCACAGUCCUGAGGGGAACCCUGUACUAUUCAGCUACUAGCAGCAGGAAAGGUUCUUGAGUUCUGAAAGAGGUUACAUCCUUUAGAAAUUACCAUGUAGGAGUGGGGUGAUUAAAAAUAUGUCCAGCAAUUCUUUGAAACUCUUUCCUUAGUCCAGGUUGGAUUCAGUGACUCACUUCUAAGGGACAGAAUAAAACAGAGGUGCUGGUGUAUGGCUUCCAAAACUGGGUCAUAAAAGGGUUUCUCUUAGCUCUCUCUCAGGCUACUUACUCUGGGGGAAGCCAGUGGCAUGUGUGAAGAUGAUAAAGCAGCCCUAUAAAAAGGUCCACAUGCCAAGGAACUCCUGAAUAAGUCAUCUUGGAGGAAGAUACUGCAGCUGGAUCCACACCCUCAGAUGAUGCAGCCCCAACUGCCAUCUUGACUGUGACCUCAAGAGAGAGGUCAGCCUGAAUUUCAUCAUGCCCAAUUCAUCUUCCUCAAUAUGUACUGGCACCUACUAAGUGUGAGGUUCUAAGUUGGAUUCCAAGAACCCAACGACAAAUGCUCUGCACUUAGGUAAACUUGAAUUCCAGCUAUGAGAUGAGACCGGAAGGGAAGUGAAUGUUUCAGAAUAUCUAGAAGCACACCCAAGGACAAGCUUAAGACUAUUUUCAGUUGGAAAGGCAGCCAAUGUCAAUAAGUCCCAUUGGAAUACAAAUGGGAAGAAGUAAUAGGAGAAACAAAGAAAGAAAGAAAAAGAGGAGCAAAAGGAGAAAGUAAAGUCAGAGAAAAAGUUGGAAUGGGAGGUAAAAGAAUCAGAAGUGAUUCUUCCAAUUCAACAAGGUAAGUAAAUGUAACAGAAGUACUGUCUUUCUGCAAUCUUAUAAAAUGUAUAAGAUGAACAAACAAAAUAAUACAAGGAAUUAGUAGGCCAGCAUUCUCCGCAAAUGCUUAGGCAACUAAGGGAAUUAGUUACUCUAUCUUGCAUAAAGAAAUAAUCAACUGCCAUUUAUUCAUAAUUCACCUGAAUGAGGAACUUCCAAAAUAGUGUCCCCCUUUCGAAUUGAGUAAUAAUAAUUUGAGUUUACAAUAGAGAUCCUGAAGCUAUGAACAUUUCAAAAUGACUUUUGAAUGAACACAUCUAAAAUAAUUAAUUUAUGUGUUAAUAAUAUGCAUUAUUAAAUGAUUUCACUGUUGAAAGAAUUUUGGUGUAUUCUAAUUCUUUAAGACAUAUAUAUGUUCUAGUGCAAAAUCAGCAUACUUAAAAGCCAAUUUGGAAUCUAAGGCAAGUAUUACCCCAAGUAUAUUACACGAAAGACUAGUCUCAGAUACUUUGAAGAAAUUAGUAACACUUACUUUUCCAAUCAGGUUUGCCUAUAUAAAACUUUGGAAAUUACUGCUGAGAUAUUCAAUCUCUAUGUGAUAGGAAAUAGCAAAUACAUUUUAAUUAUGAGAAUAUUACAGUCAUAAAACCAAUAUCUCAUUCCUUAUCCCAUGUGUCCUGGAUAAAUUAGCAUUUACACAUGUAAUCUGCUAUAAUUGAUAUGGACACUUGUUAUCACUUUAAAUACAGGCUCUAAAGGAUUUAAAGUGUUUUUUUUUUUUUUUUAAGAUGGGGUUUCACUAUGAUGGCCAGGCUGGUCUUGAACUCCUGACCUCACGUGAUCCACCCACCUCGGCCUCCCAAAGUGCUAGGAUUAUAGGCGUGAGCCACCGCACAGUGCUAGGAUUACAGGCAUGAGCCACCGCGCCCAGACGAUUUAAAGUGGUUUUCUCUUUGCUGUUGUUAAGGAAAACAAUAUAUUAUAUAAAAAAGACACCUGCACUCACAUGUUUUUUGCAGCACAACCAACAAUGCAAAAAUACAGAAUCCACCUAAGUGUUCAUCCAUGGAGGACGUAGUGGGACAUAUAUAAAUACUACCCAAUCAUAAACGAACAUGAAAUCAUGUCCUUUGUAGCAACAUGGAUGGAACUGAAGCCCAUUUUCCUAAGUAAAAUAACUCAGGAACAAAGUCAAAUACCACAUGUUCUUCUUUGUAAAUGGGGGCUAAAUACUAGGUACAUAUGGACAUACAGAGUAGAAUAUGGACAUUGGAGGCUAUAAAAGGUGGGAGGGGCAAGGGUUGAAAAAUUACCUGUUGGGUACAAUGUUCACUAUUCAGGUGUUAGUGUACCCAAUCUAGGGUAUACUAACAACCUAGAUUUAAUCGCUAUGCAAUAUAUAUACAUAAGACACCUGCACUUGGACCCCAUAAAGAUAUUUUUUUAAGGCAACAAAGAGUUUACUGCUAUGCUUCAUGAGAUUUAAUAUUUUUGGAAACAUAUGUUUUAUUUAAAACUGAGAUGAAAGUGUCUGCUGCUCAAAUGCACCACAGUCUGUCCCAUUUAGGUAAAUUUUCAGGAGAAAAGCAAGCCCCUGGGGAAAUAUCUCUGCUCAGGGUCAAAUGAACCCUACCUCCUUUUUUAAAUGCCUGCGUUGCCAUUGGUAACUCAUACAACACAUUUGAAGAUUAUGCCAAG